rnacentral:sRNA from 1 species
AGUGCUGUUCCCAAGCUUGGCUGUAGCUCUGGGGCUGGCAAGAUGAGGGUUGGGAAAGGGCCCUUCUGAUUCUACUCUUGUUCCUUUCCUGGCCUCUUCAGGGCAAAUACAGCAAGAGGAAAGGGCGAUUCAAACGGUCAGAUGGGAGCACGUCCUCGGAUACCACAUCCAACAGCUUUGUCCGCCAGGGCUCAGCGGAGUCCUACACCAGCCGUCCAUCAGACUCUGAUGUAUCUCUGGAGGAGGACCGGGAAGCCUUAAGGAAGGAAGCAGAGCGCCAGGCAUUAGCGCAGCUCGAGAAGGCCAAGACCAAGCCAGUGGCAUUUGCUGUGCGGACAAAUGUUGGCUACAAUCCGUCUCCAGGGGAUGAGGUGCCUGUGCAGGGAGUGGCCAUCACCUUCGAGCCCAAAGACUUCCUGCACAUCAAGGAGAAAUACAAUAAUGACUGGUGGAUCGGGCGGCUGGUGAAGGAGGGCUGUGAGGUUGGCUUCAUUCCCAGCCCCGUCAAACUGGACAGCCUUCGCCUGCUGCAGGAACAGAAGCUGCGCCAGAACCGCCUCAGCUCCAGCAAAUCAGGCGAUAACUCCAGUUCCAGUCUG